GGCGGCCGACGAUGACGAUCCUCGGCAGAUCCACCGCAUCCCCUUCCCCUUCCCCUGCUCCGUCCCCUUCACCCCUUACUCACCACAACCACAACUACCACCACAGGUUCCACAUCCACCGACCUCCGCUGGACUCAGGAGCUUCUUCAUCAUCGCUACCGUCCACCUCGUCCCCUUCCACAGUCGAAUUCAGUCCGCCGCUGAUCGCGAUGGUGGUCGUGGUAGCCGCUGCUCUGCUUGUUAUCACCUACUCCCGCCUGAUCUCCCGAUCCCUCGUCAUGCUCCUCCGCCGCUACCGCCGCCGCACCCCGCGGGCGCGCCGCCGACGCAGGCGGCGUCACUUUCCGAAUUCCGCUCCAUCGUCAACAGGGGGCGGCGAUCGACUCGACUCUCCUCUACCGUUCUUUGACUCCCCUGACGAAUUCCACCACCUCUACUACCCUAACUAUGGCCUCGACGAGUCGGUGAUCAAGACGAUCCCGAUCUCCCUCUACACCAAAUCGCUAAAGCCGCCGCAGUCGCCUGCGGCGACCAGAGAUUGCGCCGUCUGCUUGCUGGAGUUCGAACACGGUCGAGACUACGUCCGCACUCUCCCGAACUGCUCGCACGCGUUCCACGUGGACUGCAUCGACAUCUGGCUUAGGUCUCACGCCAACUGUCCACUCUGCCGCUCCCGGAUCUUCCUCCCAUCAUCCCCUCCUCCGCCGUUCGUCCCACUGAUGGCAGCUCGAAUCCGCCCCAGCUUCGUCGAGAAUCCGAAUUUCCUCCUCCCGGAUCUCGAGUUCCAACCUUCCGUAAUCCGAGAAUCCUCCGAAAUCACUCCCUGCGUCGAAGAAGACGAAGAGGAUGAGGAAAGAAUCAACGAUUUCGGUCUGGACAGCAGCAUUAGCAGAAGGAACAACAACUUCAACAACCUCUUAAAGCGGUCCUACUCGUUCGGAUUCGAGCGAUCCGAGAGAAUGACGCUGGCGACCGAGCCGGCUACAGUGUCUC
rnacentral:lncRNA from 1 species